rnacentral:rRNA from 1 species
CCCUUGCCCAUUUGAGGGGGAUACCAGUUGGAAACGACUGUUAAUACCGCAUAAUAUCUGUGGAUUAAAGGUGGCUUUCGGGCUGUCGCAGAUGGAUGAGCCUGCGUUGGAUUAGCUAGUUGGUGGGGUAAGGGCCCACCAAGGCUACGAUCCAUAGCUGAUUUGAGAGGAUGAUCAGCCACAUUGGGACUGAGACACGGCCCAAACUCCUACGGGAGGCAGCAGUGGGGAAUAUUGGACAAUGGGGGCAACCCUGAUCCAGCAAUGCCAUGUGUGUGAAGAAGGCCCUAGGGUUGUAAAGCACUUUAGUUGGGGAGGAAAGCCUCAAGGUUAAUAGCCUUGGGGAGGACGUUACCCAAAGAAUAAGCACCGGCUAACUCCGUGCCAGCAGCCGCGGUAAUACGGGGGGUGCAAGCGUUAAUCGGAAUUACUGGGCGUAAAGGGUCUGUAGGUGGUUUGUUAAGUCAGAUGUGAAAGCCCAGGGCUCAACCUUGGAACUGCAUUUGAUACUGGCAAACUAGAGUACGGUAGAGGAAUGGGGAAUUUCUGGUGUAGCGGUGAAAUGCGUAGAGAUCAGAAGGAACACCAAUGGCGAAGGCAACAUUCUGGACCGAUACUGACACUGAAGGACGAAAGCGUGGGGAUCAAACAGGAUUAGAUACCCUGGUAGUCCACGCUGUAAACGAUGAGUACUAGCUGUUGGAGUCGGUGUAAAGGCUCUAGUGGCGCAGCUAACGCGAUAAGUACUCCGCCUGGGGACUACGGCCGCAAGGCUAAAACUCAAAGGAAUUGACGGGGACCCGCACAAGCGGUGGAGCAUGUGGUUUAAUUCGAUGCAACGCGAAGAACCUUACCUGGUCUUGACAUCCUGCGAACUUUCUAGAGAUAGAUUGGUGCCUUCGGGAACGCAGUGACAGGUGCUGCACGGCUGUCGUCAGCUCGUGUUGUGAAAUGUUGGGUUAAGUCCCGCAACGAGCGCAACCCCUAUUGAUAGUUACCAUCAUUAAGUUGGGUACUCUAUUGAGACUGCCGCUGACAAGGCGGAGGAAGGUGGGGACGACGUCAAGUCAUCAUGGCCCUUACGACCAGGGCUACACACGUGCUACAAUGGGUAUUACAGAGGGCUGCGAAGGUGCGAGCUGGAGCGAAACUCAAA